rnacentral:rRNA from 1 species
GACAGAGGGUGCAAACGUUGCUCGGAAUCACUGGGCGUAAAGGGCGUGUAGGCGGGAAGGAUAGUCAGAUGUGAAAGCCCUGGGCUCAACCCAGGAACUGCAUUUGAAACUCCCUUUCUUGAGUGUCGGAGAGGAAAGCGGAAUUCCUGGUGUAGAGGUGAAAUGCGUAGAGAUCCGGAGGAACACCAGUGGCGAAGGCGACACGCUGGGCCGUACCUGACGCUGAUACGCGACAGCAUGGGGAGCGAACGGG